CUUUUGUGUUUUGAUGCUUUAAGUUUUUAUUGUUGUUUUGCUUUGUUUUUAAUGCUUUACUGUGCUAAUUCCAUGAUGUAUAAAUCAUUUUAGGUCAUUUCUAAGAGAAGAAGUGUUAGUAGAUCAAGAAAGGGCUAUAGAACUAAGGAAGAAGGAUAGGAAGAACGGGAGGAGAAGUGAAGGAAAGGACAGAGAAACUUGGAGAACAAUGAACAGCAGAAGACAUCCUGGAGACCAAGAUGACAAAUGGUGUUAAGAAAAGAGCAGCUGUCUACCAGCAGGAGCCAGUACCUGGCAGUUGGAAUCAACACCAGCGACCAAACAAAUCUCUGGAAAGUUUUUCAUGGGAAAUCCAAGAAGCUACAUCUGAAGAAAAUAUUUUGUCUGUGACCAACAAGAAAAGGACAGUUUCUCUGGUUUCUACUUCUACCAACAUUCCAUUAGCGUCUAGCAACAUCUCUGGAGACACUUAAGGUUACAUGGAUCCCACAGGUGACAGAACAAACGUAGCCAUCCUUAAAGGUAAACCAAUUUACUCAGAAAUUUGUGGCCGUCUUGUCACUGAGAAGCAUUCAUGUAGAUAGCAAGUGGCCUCAUUGGUGUAUGUAUACGGG
rnacentral:lncRNA from 1 species